rnacentral:rRNA from 1 species
AGUGAACGCUGGCGGUAGGCCUAACACAUGCAAGUCGAACGGCAGCACAGUAAGAGCUUGCUCUUACGGGUGGCGAGUGGCGGACGGGUGAGGAAUACAUCGGAAUCUACUUUUUCGUGGGGGAUAACGUAGGGAAACUUACGCUAAUACCGCAUACGACCUACGGGUGAAAGCAGGGGAUCUUCGGACCUUGCGCGAUUGAAUGAGCCGAUGUCGGAUUAGCUAGUUGGCGGGGUAAAGGCCCACAAAGGCGACGAUCCGUAGCUGGUCUGAGAGGAUGAUCAGCCACACUGGAACUGAGACACGGUCCAGACUCCUACGGGAGGCAGCAGUGGGGAAUAUUGGACGAUGGGCGCAAGCCUGAUCCAGCCAUACCGCGUGGGUGAAGAAGGCCUUCGGGUUGUAAAACCCUUUUGUUGGGAAAGAAAAGCAGCAGGUUAAUACCCCGCUGUUCUGACGGUACCCAAAGAAUAAGCACCGGCUAACUUCGUG